rnacentral:rRNA from 1 species
UUCCGUAGGUGAACCUGCGGAAGGAUCAUUAUUGAAUUAUGUUUCUAGAUGGGUUGUAGCUGGCUCUUUAGAGCAUGUGCACGCCUGUUUGGACUUCAUCUUCAUCCACCUGUGCACCUAUUGUAGUCUUUAGUUGGGUCUCGAGGAAGUGGUUCACCUAUCAGCAUUUGCUGGAUGUGAGGACUUGCACUGUGAAAGCACUGCUGUCCUUUACUUGACCAUGGAGUCGAUUUCUCACUGGAGUCUAUGUCAUUCAUUAUACUCUGUUGAAUGUUAUUGAAUGUCUUUUACAUGGGCUUGUAUGCCUAUGAAAAUUGUAAUACAACUUUCAGCAACGGAUCUCUUGGCUCUCGCAUCGAUGAAGAACGCAGCGAAAUGCGAUAAGUAAUGUGAAUUGCAGAAUUCAGUGAAUCAUCGAAUCUUUGAACGCAUCUUGCGCUCCUUGGUAUUCCGAGGAGCAUGCCUGUUUGAGUGUCAUUAAAUUCUCAACUCUCUUGUACUUUUUUGUAAAGGAGAGCUUGGAUUGUGGAGGCUUGCUGGUCACUUAAUUGAGGUCAGCUCCUCUGAAAUGCAUUAGCGGAACCGUUUGCGAUCUGCCACAAGUGUGAUAAGUUAUCUGCACUGGUGAGGCAAUUGCUCUCUGUGUUGUUCAGCUUCUAACUGUCUCAGUCUGUCGAGACAACUUUUUGAAUGCUUGACCUCAAAUCAGGUAGGACUACCCGCUGAACUUAAGCAUAUCAAUAAGCGGAGGAAAAGAAACUAAGAAGGAUUCCCCUAGUAACUGCGAGGAAAAGGGGGAAAA